CGCCUUACCUCCUGACCUUUAGCAUCUCCUCGCCGCCCACUGCGAACAAACAGUCCUCUGUGUGCACCCUGGGCAGGCCUCACUGCAGCCCUGCAGGAAGCAGGAUGCUGACCCGGAGUCGGCGCCCCCUCGCUCCCUAGGGUGGACCCAGCCACGUAUGAGGAAACCGAGGCGCAGAGAGGCAAAGGGAUGUGUCGAAAGCCACACAGCUGGAGCAAGUGGUGGAACUGGCCUGGGAACAUGGGUUGGUGUGUUUUCCCUCCACCCCACAGCGACAUGGUGGGGGUGGGGGUGGGGGUGGGGAGUUGGCAGAGGCAGCCCUUUAAAAACUGCAGUAGGGCCACCACAAGUAAACAGAAGCCUUGACAGCUGUCGGGCCCUCUCUCCAAGCACAAGGCGGAGGCUGGCCCUGUUUCCAGCAGAAGGCCUUGGUCCGGCCGGCUGCCUUGACUCAGAGGACUCAGGCUCGCGUUGCUCCUUUGUGGGCUGGAGGGGCCCCGAGAUCACAGACCCCGGAGUGGGUGUGAGCACCGUCUCUGCACCCAGAAGCUGAGAUCAGCUUUUGGGCUGCUCUUUCUUCAGUCAUUUACUGGUUUCCCAUGAUUAUAAUAACUACCCCUGCUGAGCUUUAUAGUUCACAAAGUACUUUCACAAACACUCUUUCAUUUACUCCUCACAUCAGCCCUGUGAUGAGGAGUUAAUAUGACCAUUUUAUGGAAACAGAAACUGGAGUUCAGGGAGGGAGGUUCCGGGAAUGGCCUCAGAUCAGAAGGCCAGCAGUGGCCCUCACGCCAGCAUUCCCGAGCCCCGGGCCAGACCCGGCUCCUUCCUUCCACGGGGCAGCCUUCUCAGAGGAGUGCGGUGGCUUCUGGAGGGGCCGGCCUAUCUCAGUCUGCCAGCAGUGACCAGACAAUCUGCUCUCAUCAUCUGGGAGCUGGGUGAAGACCCCUCCCCACCCUCACCUCCUGCAAAUAUUGUGUGUUGGGGGUGGGGGGGACACAAAGAAGUAGAAGUGACUGCUGAGUGAGGGAGCUGGAGAGAGUACUGGGGAGGGGUCCCCCGCUGCCUUGGCCUUGGGCCCCGCAGAUGCAUGGAAGGGACCAGCAGUUCCUGGAACACGAGCCCAUCGCCGGGGUGCCCAGUGCCAGCUGUUGCCAUCUGCUUGUGGCAAAACGAGAAAAAUAGGACAAUACAGUGAAGUUUUCCUAAAGCUAGACCUACUCGAUCUGAAGUACGGCCCUUUCCCUGGAGCUGUGUAUUUUCAGGGUCUGUGCAUGUGUGUGUUUAAAAAGGACCUUUUCUUUGACAUUUUCUUUAAUGUCCUUAACCGAGCAAAAUAAAAGACUAGUGACCAUGUCAGAUCCUAAA